rnacentral:lncRNA from 1 species
UCAAAGUUAGGGAAGCUCCUUAAUCAACUAACGUCCUCGAAACAAUCCGAUAUAUUUGGCGAACUGAACCCUCAACAAUUCACAAAAUUGGUUGUGAAUUUAUAGGGAGCCCAACGUUACUCCCAACACCUUCAAGAACCAAUUAACAAAUUAGCUAAACAUUCCAACCAUAACACUUGAAACCACUUUGAAACCAAUUACCAUUCAUACUUAAGUUGUUACCAACAAAGCAACCUCGAUAAAAUUUGUAAAACAGAGACAGCAGCACACCUCAACGCACGACUGUCAGACUCGCAGCAAAAAUCCUAAGUGUGGGUCGGUCAGCGGUCGGCCAAAGGAGACGUGGCGGCUGCCUCAAAAUCGAUCAACGAUCUGACGCGGUCGGAGAGUCGCGCGGCAGUGCAAAAAAUAGAGGAGAACGGAAUGGGCGGCGGCUCGAAACAGAGGUUGCGCGGCAGGGCUCCACGAAGACAGAACCAGCAGAGACGGUUGCAGAACCGUGGCUUCGACGGAGACAAAACCGGCGGAGACGGUUGCAGCGGCGGUUACUGCGCGAACGGAGAGAAGGAAACGGAUGGGGCGGCUGGGCUACGGCGGGAAGAGAACGGAAGAGAAAGGAUCGGUGGCGGUUGCGGCUGGGCUGCGACGGGAAGAAAACGGAAGGGAGAAGAGAAAAGAGAAAGGAAAAGAGAAGAGAACGGGGGGGGG